rnacentral:misc_RNA from 1 species
GAUGAAGAACGCAGCGAAAUGCGAUAAGUAGUGUGAAUUGCAGAAUUCAGUGAAUCAUCGAAUCUUUGAACGCACAUUGCGCCCCUUGGUAUCCCGAGGGGCAUGCCUGUUCGAGCGUCAUUUCACCACUCAAGCCUGGCUUGGUGUUGGGCGACGUCCUCUUUGGGGACGCGCCUCGAAACGCUCGGCGGCGUGGCACCGGCUUUAAGCGAAGCAGAAUCUUUCGCUUUGGAAGUCGGGGCCCCGUCUGCCGGAAGACCUGCUCGCAAGGUUGACCUCGGAUCAGGCAGGGAUACCCGCUGAACUUAAGCAUAUCAAUAAGCGGAGGA